rnacentral:rRNA from 1 species
AAAUUGAAGAGUUUGAUCAUGGCUCAGAUUGAACGCUGGCGGCAGGCCUAACACAUGCAAGUCGAACGGUAACAGGAAGCAGCUUGCUGCUUCGCUGACGAGUGGCGGACGGGUGAGUAAUGUCUGGGAAACUGCCUGAUGGAGGGGGAUAACUACUGGAAAUGGUGGCUAAUACCGCAUAACGUCGCAAGACCAAAGAGGGGGACCUUCGGGCCUCUUGCCAUCAGAUGUGCCCAGAUGGGAUUAGCUAGUUGGUGAGGUAACGGCUCACCAAGGCGACGAUCCCUAGCUGGUCUGAGAGGAUGACCAGCCACACUGGAACUGAGACACGGUCCAGACUCCUACGGGAGGCAGCAGUGGGGAAUAUUGCACAAUGGGCGCAAGCCUGAUGCAGCCAUGCCGCGUGUAUGAAGAAGGCCUUCGGGUUGUAAAGUACUUUCAGCGGGGAGGAAGGUGUUGUGGUUAAUAACC